CUUUGUGCUUGUAUGACGCUGACUUUGGAGGAGAAUUUGAGUGGAUUUACGAAGCUGAAUGCCAUGAAGACAACCUCACCUCCCUCCAGCAGCUUUGGGCUGAGCAUUCCAUCAAAGCGACAAUGGUGAAGAGCAUGCUGAAUGACCUCGAGAAAGCUAAAGUGGAAACAGACUGUGACAUUGCGCCCUGGUGUGAUCUGAGUCCCCCUUUAGUGAUGCAGUCUGAAUGGCUCGUAGAAGACAGGAAUCCUAAGGCGCUGAUGGAGAGACA